UUACUGGUACCUCCUGCUGCUUGUCAUGGUUCAAUUUUAUCAUGGGUGUGGACUUGACAAUCUAACUCCUUUAAAAUCCUAAGCUCCUUAGGCUCCACGUUGAAUGGUGACCGUCACCCUCUCACAAAAUUGUCCUGUACAAAUUUCGGCGCAAAAUAUAAAACCCAAAAAAAAUAAAAUACCAAACCCUUUUUUGUUUCGUUCACAUAGAAAAAAAUAAAAAAAAAAGAAGAAAACCCUAAAAAUAAAGCCUAAGAUAUGCUUUCUUCACAGAGAUGAUGAUACAAAGAAAAGAAAAACAACUAGCAAGGGGACAAAGGCUUUAUCCCCUGUUAGAAUAAUAAGAAACUAAAACCUAGAAAAAUAUGUGCAAAAAGUCUCUCUAAAACCCAUUCGCUCAAUUUCUGCUCUCACAUCUUCUUUUUCCUCUAUUUGGUAAUCUCACAUAUAUCGAUCAUCAUGAACAAUAUCAACUAAUGUUCCAGUGAACGGGGAUAUCUUUAAUCCCGUUUGAUUAGGGUUUCGUUGUCAUCAUCAUCUCUAUUUUGAUUGAUGUUAUUAGGGUUCACUUUUUUAUUAGGGCUAUACUUGGAUAAAUAGUUUUGUACCACUAAGUUUGCAGGGAGAUUGGAUUAAUCUUCAAGGCAGAAGUCGAAUCAGAAAGACGACGAAGAGGAAUAGCAGAAAAGAGAAUUUUUUUCCCUCUAUUUCUGAGAACCCUCGGGCUCAUUUCAAUGGAAGCUCCAUCUUUAAGUCAAUAAUAUAGAAUUCAGGUUCGUUGAAAAGCCCCCUUACACAACUAGGGCUGAGCUUAGGAUCACAACCGUUCUUACACAACUAGGGAUGAGCUUAAGCUCGCUUGACAAGAGGUAUGACACUCUUUUCUCUUUUUGAUAUGAAACUCUUCUCUUUUCCUAUCCCAUUUUGCUCAAAAAAGACAGUUGUUCAUGCUGACUAAGUUGAACACAUCAGAUGAAACAAUGGUAUAAUACACGCAAAUAAUGAUUGAUAAAGCUUAGGAAAUGAUCAUAAACUGGAGACAUGGCGUAUAACUUAGGAAAUGAUUUAGAUGUCUUUAAAAAGAGUUCUCCUUCGGUGGAACAUUACUAGAUUUUUUCCAUUUCCAUUGUCUUCUAUAUUGAUAUUAGCUGAUUCAGAGUUUGGGUUUUGCUAUUUUAUUAUCAUGUUAAAAAAAAUUUGAUAAAGAAGAGAAUGUACAAAAAAUGCUCUUAGUUCAAUCAUAAAAAGAAGAUUCACAAUGAAAAAUGCAUUAACUUAUACCUAUAAAAAUGUGAUUUUCGGAAGGAUUUACCAAAUUUAAAUGGUUUUUUAAACAAGCCUUUGCAAAGAAGUGGGUGCAAGAACUACAGAAACAAGGUGGGUUGAUAUUAUUUUUAUUUAGUAUUUUCAAUUAUUUUGAUCAAUCCGAAAUUAAUAGUACACAAUGUUAUGAGUCUUAUGAUUGAAGUAGUGGGUAUAGUGGGAACUAUAUAGAGUUGUAUGAACCAUUCCGUCUUUCUUGGAGUGCUGCUUGCUGAAGGUGGAGGUCCAGUUCUCUUUACUUUUUUAAACAUUAUUAACUAUUCCGAAUGUCAGGGAAUCUGAUUAUCCCAUUGAAGAAGAAAGUUCCCUACUGAAAACAGUUACAUCCAAAUGUAUCCUCAGUUACUUCUGCUACAAAUGAUAGUAUUCAGGGGAAAUGGGAACCCACUUUACUUUCACAAGUUCAGAAGAAUACCUAUGCCAAUAUGUGGAGCUAAAGCCUAUUAACCAUGCAUCAAUGUCAGUAUGUUGAUAGGGAAGUUGGAAACUUCCUUGGAUUAUGCCUAAAUAAAACUGUGCAAUACAAUUGACAACCUGCAACACAAACUGAAUGGGAAGUCCCAUUUCUGAUGUGAUAAUGUGAUAGGCUGUAUUCUAUAGAUAAGACGAUUCCCCUAUAUUAAGGCAUAUCGCAGCAAGACUUUUGAUCGAUAAUUUUUCUAGAUAUAUUAGGAAUAUGGUUUCAACACUUAUAGAAACACUUGAGUCUAUUGGAAUGUAAAAGACAAAAGAUUUUGACACUUAAAAAGUUCAGGUUUGGCAAGUGAAUUCCAGCAUAGCAUAUGAGUUGAGGAUAAGGUCGAAAUUAAGAAGCUCCACUGCUUUGAUAUGAAUUCCAGCAUAGCAUAUGCAUUUCAUCCAGACAUUGGAAAAUUUUCUGACUAAAAUUGUUCAUUUACCAUUUCUGACUAAAAUAGUUCAUUUACCGUAUAUUCAGAAGAAUCAGAACAUUGGGUGAUGCAAUGACGAUCGAAGAAAUUGUAUAGACGCGCCACUGAAGAAGACUGUAGACUGACGCACUGAGGCUGGAACGGCAUCCACAAUGCAAAAAAGACCUCUUGCGGACACUACAACUAUAAAAACUAUCAACAUUCAUGUAGAUAACACAUUCCUAACACAUCAUUCAUUCAGAAUGAGUGGACGCCCUUGAAAGCAAGGAUACCUGAUCCAAGUAUGUCCCAACCUACUUAGGUUGUCGCAUUAUUGUUUGUUCUUUUGGAGUAAGGUCAAUAGUUCCUAUUUAGAGGAUGAUUGAAAUGAUGUUUUUGAGGAGAAUGAUGACGCCUCAAAUGAAGUAUUGCCAGUGAAAGUUAGUAUCGUGUUGUCACCUGCUGGAGUACAAUGACACUCUGGACAAUUGAAUCAAUUACCUUGCAGUUUGUGGUGUCAUUUACAUUUUAUACUCAGUGGAUUAAUUUUGUUACUUUUGUAUAAUAUUUGUCAGAGAUUUCAAAUUUUGAUGAUAGAAGUUGACUUUGAUUUGUUUAUAAUUUUAACAUAAGCACAAGUAUUCACACUUUUCGAA